rnacentral:rRNA from 1 species
ACACUGUACGUAGUUUGAUCAUGGCUCAGAACGAACGCUGGCGGCAGGCCUAACACAUGCAAGUCGAGCGCCCCGCAAGGGGAGCGGCGGACGGGUGAGUAACGCGUGGGAACGUACCCUUUGCUACGGAAUAGCCUCGGGAAACUGGGAGUAAUACCGUAUGUGCCCUUCGGGGGAAAGAUUUAUCGGCAAAGGAUCGGCCCGCGUUGGAUUAGGUAGUUGGUGGGGUAAUGGCCUACCAAGCCGACGAUCCAUAGCUGGUUUGAGAGGAUGAUCAGCCACACUGGGACUGAGACACGGCCCAGACUCCUACGGGAGGCAGCAGUGGGGAAUCUUAGACAAUGGGCGCAAGCCUGAUCUAGCCAUGCCGCGUGAGCGAUGAAGGCCUUAGGGUUGUAAAGCUCUUUCAGUGGGGAAGAUAAUGACUGUACCCACAGAAGAAGCCCCGGCUAACUCCGUG